rnacentral:rRNA from 1 species
GGGCGUAAAGCGUACGUAGGCGGUCUAUUAAGUCAGUGGUAAAAUCUCAGGGCUCAACUCUGAACCUGCCACUGAAACUGCUAGACUAGAGGCUGGAAGAGGUAAGUGGAAUUGCCGGUGUAGGGGUCAAAUCCGUUAAUAUCGGCAGGAACACCAAAUGCGAAGGCAACUUACUAGAACAGUCCUGACGCUAAGGUACGAAAGCGUGGGUAGCGAAUGGGAUUAGAUACCCCAGUAGUCCACGCCGUAAACGAUGGAUACUAGACAUUGGAAGUAUCGACCCUUUCAGUGUCGGUGAACCAAGCUAACGCAUUAAGUAUCCCGCCUGGGGAGUACGGCCGCAAGGCUAAAACUCAAAGGAAUUGACGGGGACCCGCACAAGCGGUGGAGCACGUGGUUUAAUUCGAUGAUACGCGAGGAACCUUACCAAGGCUUGACAUCUAGCUGCAAGCUCUAAGAAACUAGAGCCGCCUUCGAGGGUGCUAGACAGAUGUUGCAUGGUUGCCGUCAGCUCGUGCCGUGAGGUGUACAGUUAAGUCUGGAAACGAGCGCAACCCCUACCCUUAUUUGUAUCUUUAUAAGGGAACUGCCGUGUACAACACGGAGGAAGGUGGGGACGACGUCAAAUCAGCAUGGCUCUUACGCCUUGGGCGACACACAUGCUACAAUGGCCAGUACAAAGGGCAGCCAAACCGCAAGGUGGAGCUAAUCCCAUUCAAAACUGGUCUCAGUUCGGAUUGAGGUCUGCAACUCGAC